rnacentral:rRNA from 1 species
AUGCGCAUGCAUGCAUCAAUGCAUGCCCCACUGGCUACGCACGGCGUACGCGCAUGGACACGUGCAUGCACGCACCACCGUCCGUCCGCCACCCUGCAAUGCAAUACCGCAACACCUAUCUUCUUCUCCCUAGCCAUCUCUCGCCCGCCGGCUAUUUAUACCCCGCUCCACGGAGUUCCAUCUCCACCACCACCACACAAGCUAAUCAAGCUCUCAGCUCCUUCCCAGCUCCACGGUUUCCAGCAAGCAAACCGAAGCACUAGAUCCUCGAUGGCUCGCGUGGCACUGGUCGCCGUGUUCGCCGUGCUCGCGGCACUGGCGGUGGCGGAGAUGGCGUCCGGGGCGGUGACCUGCGGCGACGUGACGUCCGCCGUCGCGCCGUGCAUGUCCUACGCGAGGGGGCAAGCGUCGGCACCCUCGGGGGCGUGCUGCAGCGGGGUGAGGACCCUGAACGCCAAGGCGUCCACCCCGGCCGACCGGAAGGCGGCGUGCAACUGCCUCAAGAACCUGGCGGGGUCGGGCAUCAGCAUGGGUAACGCCGCCAACAUCCCCGGCAAAUGCGGCGUCUCCGUCUCUUUCCCCAUCAACACCAAAACCAACUGCAACAA